UCAGGAACAUGUAUGUGUAGCGCCGCAGCAGCAGCUUUAGGACUAUACUAGGGUAUUGUGGUGCAGUGACGAGUUCCCGGGGCUACAAGAGUAACAAUAACAAGUCUCUGGGACAAAACUAAAUGAUUCACAUACUACCAGGUGUUGUCUGUAGUGAAAGAUUCACAGCACCACAGGUAUGUAGUAAGAAUGCACUAAGCAAUUCGUAGUGUAUUUGUUCUGGUAAAACAGCCGGGAAUUCGCAGCACAACGAGACACGGCAGACAAAAAAUCGUAGCAGUGGUAGUGUAUGAAGGACAAGUGAAGACCACAAUAUGCUGUAUGAAGGACAAGUAAAGACCACAGAUAGUGUAUGAAGGAUAAAUGAAGACCACAAAUGGUGUAUGGAGGAGACCACAAGGAGAACUGGGAGUCGUAUUUGUGAUGCAGACACGAAGUCAGCAGCGGUAUGUGUGACGUCACAGCCAUGGUGGGGCGGGGGAAAUGUAUGCGGCUGUUUGCCAUCUUCGUGCUGUCAAGUCUUCUAGCUAUCAUAUCCCUCGCCAGGGUCCUCGCACAUGCUGACUCUUCCAGACACUUCCUAGGUUUGACUGAAUUAUAACGUUCGAGUUUGACGUGAGGAGUCUGAAUAUUCCUUUAACCGCCUUGAUUGGCGGUUACAGUGAAACGUGAGGGUCUACCGUGUAGCAGAAGGAGCUGAUCAGAGCGAACCAAGGUCAACCCAACUCAACCCACUGGAGGGAUGUGCGUGUGUUCCCAGUGCCACGGAGUACAGUGCAACGCCCGUAGAUUUAUCUUGGAGAUAAUAUUUUGAACCUUUGUUAUUGAAGAAAAUAAUGUUGUCAGAGUGAGCUCAGCCACUCUCAGUGUAGCUUGGCUCACCAACACGCGUCACUCAAGGGACGAGUGUGUGCGUGUGGGUGUGUGUAUCCAGUGGCGAGAAGUGCAGUGCAACGUCCGUAUACUUCUCACAUCGAUAAUAGUUAAACCUGGUUAGUCCAGAAAAUAGUCUUGUCUGAGUGGUCUUCAUCACUCCCGGUGUAGUGCAUAUGAGAAUGAAAACACAUGUCAUUAUUGCUGUCUGACGUAAGUGCUGAACACAAUUAGCAAUCAUAGUUGACUGAAGUGAUACUGCUUUGUAAAUAACCCAAAUAUCAAUGUAAAGUUUGUAAUGAUAUCAGGUGUGAGUGUUAGAGUGAGCUAACUGAGUGCCAGGUCGACUGUAACGAACGCAAUUCAAGUUACCUGAAUAAGCAAGAUGUCGGAGAUUGGGUAUAUUGACGACAUGGAAGGAGAGUCGGACCUAGAUGGAAGCAAACAUUUUGACCUAAUGACAAUGGAUCCACCUGCCGAGGCACAAUCAGAGUGGUGAAACAGGAAAUGAGCUUGCAAUACCUGGAGAUCCACGGGAAGGUCACAGUAGGGAAUUGGAUUUCCAACAAACAGUGGCCAGAGCUGAGGCAGCGUCGGACGAAGUAAACCGAGCCUUGCGAGAACUUAAGGCAGGGUGGAUAAAAACGAUGCACACUGGAAUGGUGGCGAGUCAAGAGACAUCAGCACUAACACGAAGAAGUGACAGCUCACAGCCUUCGACAGAGAACUCCAGCAAUUAUGAGAAGCCAAUAGUACGGGAAGAAAUUCAGCGACAGGCAUCGGUCAAUGUCGAGAAAAUGGCAUCAUCUUUACUGCCAAUGCUUCCAAACAAAGAGCCUCAAAUCACAAUUAUGCACCCACAGGGAGAAUCAGGGAAGGGUGAAGAAAUAGAGAGUUAGUGGCUACGAUGCGCAUGCCGCAAGCCACCCUUCCCAAGUUUAAAGGACGAGGUCGGGCGGAGUUUUGGACCUUUAUGCAUGCCUUCCCUCACCAUCGCCACCUCCUGCCACCUGCAGCCCCCCCCACCCAACUCGCGCAGUCCGCCACUACAACAAAAUUCAGCCCAUAAGA
rnacentral:misc_RNA from 1 species